GGAUGAAGAACGCAGCGAAAUGCGAUACGUAAUGUGAAUUGCAGAAUUCAGUGAAUCAUCGAGUCUUUGAACGCACAUUGCGCCCCCUGGUAUUCCGGGGGACAUGCCUGUCCGAGCGUCAUUGCUGCCCUCAAGCACGGCUUGUGUGUUGGGCCUCCGUCCUCCUCCCGGGGGACGGGCCCGAAAGGCAGCGGCGGCACCGCGUCCGGUCCUCGAGCGUAUGGGGCUUCGUCACCCGCUCUUGUAGGCCCGGCCGGCGCUUGCCGACACAUCAAUCUUUUUUCCAGGUUGACCUCGGAUCAGGUAGGGAUACCCGCUGAACUUAAGCAUAUCAAUAAGCGGAGGA
rnacentral:misc_RNA from 1 species